rnacentral:lncRNA from 1 species
AUGCCCGCAGCCAUCCCUAGGCCCCAUGCGACGUGCCGGCUCCAGCGGCGCAGGGCUCUGCCCGGCCGUGCCGUUGUUACGGCAAUGCGGGCUCAGGGGCUCCUGGGCUGCCGGCUCUUCCUGACGCUGCCGGAGCYGCUAAAGGAGCAGCCGCCGAGCGGGGGAGAAUCGAGCGGCCAAGAGGCUUCCCGGGGAGGCRAUCGAUCGAUCGAUCACCACCAGCCCGGCACGACCGAGGGCUGUCGAGCAGCUCCGGCGAGGCGGUGCCGGCCCGUCGCCCUGCCGGGGAGGGCAGCAGCACCGAGGGGGACUCAUGUUGGGUGUUUUCCCAUAAUGGCACAAGAUUGCUGCCGGAGAAACGGACCCGGAUUUGCAAGCCCCGCACGUCACAGCUCAAGGUUGAUAAUGUCGAGCAUCCCUUUCCGUGCUGCUCUGAAACACUGAAAAAAGCAGACUGGGCUUACAAAAUCCGCAGGGAUUUAGCACUCUUUCUCCCCUUGAUUCUCGUACCUGAUGCGUGUGGCUCGGCACCUGGGCAAUGUUCGCCAGCUAGCAGACCACAUCCAAACGCUUUAUCCCUUCCCGGAACGUCUCCGAGAUGCUCCUCGGCCAGCUGGGCUCAGCUGGGAUUGAGGGCUGAGUUUGGACGUGGGGGACCAUGGAGCUGCCUGUUCUGCACAAGCCUUAUUUCCUUAGGAAAGUGGACGCGGUGAAUGAGGCUGGUGCUGGGGGUUGGAAAAUCAAGGCAAAAGGAGUCAUUCCAGGAGAUGCAGGUACAUCCCGAUGUGUGCAUGGGAGAGGACAGGGUAGCUGACGGUAGCAGCCAAGGUGACCCUURCUUGGGGUGGAGGACAGGCAAGAAGACCUCUUGCCAUCCUGGUUUUCUGCWGUUUGAAGAAACUUGUGAAGAUAAUAUUGAAUUUGACAGGGCAGGAGAAGGAGGCAGAGAGGAAACCCAUCAGAAAGGUCCGUUAACCUCCUCUGGAUGCUGGUAGCCUUCAAGUGCUUUCCKGGGGGACUGGCGUCCAGCCGACGGCCGCGCUCCCUUCGCUCCUUCCCUUUGCGGCUUGGCUUUCACAGGAGGUGCCCCUGGUCCAUGCCAUGGCACAGGAUGGGCCCGGGGCGCUGGUGGGGUGCUGGUGGGGCUUGGGGCAGAGUCUGACCCCUGUUCUGCAGGGAGAGACUGAGAAAGUUGGAGCAAUUAAAUAAACUAUCUCCUUGCUACGCUGUGGGAUUAGCU